AUGUAUAAGCCUAAACAGCAGAUUUUAAGGGGAAAUAACAAGCAAGUGUACUCAUAUUACUAUACUCAUAAGUCUAAAACAACAGAUUUCAAGGAAACUAGCACAGCACAGAGCAGCAGCCAGCAGCAAAGCACAGCAAGCAGCAGUAGCAGAGCUAGCAGCCUAGCAGUAGCAACACCACGAAUAGACAGCAGCAGCAAGCAGCACACCCACACGACCACAUUUCAGUGCUCCACUAGUCAACAGAGCAGCAUAUUAACAAGGGGAAGAGGGAGCACGAGAAGAAGAACCCAAGCAAGAGAACAGCUCGCAGUGGGGGUCCUUCACUAG
rnacentral:rRNA from 1 species